AAACAGUUCUAUGUGUGUAUAUUGAAAUCGGAACGAUACAGAGAAAAUUAGCAUUGCCUCUGCGCAAGAAUGACACGCAAAAUCGUGAAGCGUUCCACAUUUUU
rnacentral:snRNA from 1 species